ACGCAUUCCAAGAAUAACACGAAGAGGAACAUAAAUAUAACCAAUGUUUUUCUGAAAAUCUAUAUUCUUUGUCACUAUGUAAUAAAGAAAGAGAGAAGGUUGUUAACUUAAAUAAUACAAAGAAAACAGAAGUUAAUUUCUAAUUGUAAAUUGUAAAGAACAGAAGGUGUGAAAAAAAGAAAAGACCAGAAACGAAAAAAGGAAAAUAAUUUGUCCAGUUAAUGGAAGUAUCAUUGAGAAAUUUUGCUUACUUACUUUCGACCCACGACAUUUCGGCUCUUUCUAUCACAUAAUACGUGGUAUUGAUUAAAUGCAUAGAAUAUAAUAACUCCUUCCACCCAGCCACGCCUCAGAAAUUAGCUAGUCACCCUACAUGGCGGUUUGCAGAAGAAAUUCUCCUGUAGAAGUCAUCCUCUCAAUAAUUUUUGAAGGAGUAAUACGCAAGUAAAUGAUAAAAUUAUCGCAUAUAUAUUUCUUACGUUUCAAAAGAAACAUACAAGCAGUUCAAACAGUACUAACAAUUUCUUCAUUCUCACUUGUCUUUUGUUCGUUAUCGAUAUAAAGUAAAUUUAUCAGUAGUCAUUAGUAUAUAAUUUAUUAUAAAAUUUCAUUUCUAUUGUGGUAAUGAAACUGAUUUUCGUGAUCAAUGCCAUCCUAAUUAUUAUUUUGUUGCUUUUCGGAGAAGAUACUUCAUCUGACUUAAAUGGGCGUAACCCAAUUUACCUUUUAUUGCUGCAUAAUCAAAUGAACAAUUGAACGUCUAUCCGAAGUCUUAACUAAUUUACGAAAUUUAAAUUAUGUCAGAGAUAUACAAGAUUAAACGAAGGCGAAAGUAAUUCCAAUUGCUAGGAAGUAUUACAGAGGAUCAGAGUUGAACGAUAUCUGGAUUCUAAUUAUGUCCAAAGAAGAUAUAUGCAUUUCAACUAAGCUUAAUGUAAUCAUUAAACAUUUGACAUCCGAAAGGAAACGCUCUUACAUUGGUACUUCCUAUUUUUCCUCAAAUCCGACGAUUCGUUCUACUUGGAUAAUAGAAAUGUCCGAAAGUCAACGAACUUUGGAAAUGGAAACGUUUACCUCCUCACUCUUGUAUUUAAAUGAGAUUUUAUCAUGGCGACGAGAAUAUUUCUCUUGAUGAGCAUUAUUGAAUCAUAUUUAACCAGAAGCGUGUUUCAAGAGGCAGUUAAAAAUUCUAGCAAAGGAAGGAACACUGUUAGCUAUUGUUCAUGUAUGCAUUAUGUGACUGUGAAUACCUAGGAAGAGGAAAAAGAAGAAAAUACAUACGUGAUUGACGACGAAGUUUCGAAAGACCAAUAUGGCGCUGUUUUAAAAAGCUUGGAACCCUGGUACGAGGAAAUGCGAGGGAUUUAUCUUCUUCAAAGCAUCUAACCGUGAGCAGCUUUAUCUGGAGGGUAUAAGCGAUUGUGGUCAAAAAGAUUUGUCGAUGAGGCGUCCGAUGUUUCACGCGGGGUAAGGGUCAAAGGGGAAUUUAAAUGAAACUGAAAGAGGUUUAUCAUACAAAAUAAUUGAACAGACAGGGACGAUGAAAAGAUUCAUCUAUUUUCAAAGUAAUACCAUUAGCAGGGGAAUACUUUUAAAUUAUACGUGAAAUAGAAAGUCCACGUAACGUCAUUGUUAUUCCAUCGAUUUAAAUUAUAUAACCAUUCGAUAUAAUUUAAAAGGGAGAAGUAUUGAAUUCUAUGUUUCAAACUGUUUGCCGUAAUAUUCACGACAUAUACAUAAAAAAUAUUCGUAAUACUUAAUUAGAGUUUUUCUUAAAUAUUGAUAUUUGGAUGAAAUAAUUUGGUGCGUAGCGCCAAUUACCUGUUUAGUAUGUUAUGAAAGGAAUUUCGUGAUAGUGGAUGUCCGUAAUACGUUCUCCCAUAUUUAUCGUCAAGUACCUUCGUUUAAAUCUUUCUCCAUUAUCUCUCUCCAUGUACGUGUGCUCUGGUGCGUGUCUAUCCGCGUCAGGUCGAGUGGCUGGCAUUGAGUAUGCGUGUGUACGUAGAACGCCUGCCUCAUUUUUAUAAUAAGUAAAGUAUUUUUUCAUUUGUUUUCCUGUCAUCAGAACAAGCAAACAAUAAGAGAUUGGCUGUAUAAUUGAAUUACCUAUUUAGAUUUAUUGUUUUAUAACAUGCUUACUUAUUUUGCAGAACAAUAGCUUAUUUUCUUAGGAACCAAUUGAUUUGGAACAUAAUAUACGAAAUAUUAGAUAAUUAGAAGUAUAAUGGGAAAUACGCGCACUCAUUUCCGUCCACUUGACUGGAGCACGUAAACGCGCAUGUGCACGGUAAGAGGUAGUAAUAAAUCGUUCAAUAUGAUGGUGUUGGACGAUAGGUAGGAGAGAACAUAAUCCUCAACGAGCAAAUUGUUAAAUGCCGAUCAAUACCCCUUAACAAGGGAAUUUGUUGACAUGGGGGAUCAUAUAUUUUUGCAAAAAAAUCACAAUUUUGCCCAUUAUAAUUUUCUAUGAUGUCUGUGAUAAAUGUUGAAUCAAUUCUUUUCCAAACUUAUCCCUCGCAUUAUGUGUGAGGUCUUUCCAUUUUUUUGUUAGAUGACAUCAGUAUUAGUGCUGUCGCUUUCUUCCCGAUUAAUAUUUUUUUUUUCUAACAUAUCUGUACUAAUGUUUGUCUUUAAUCCAAAAUUCCCCUUCGAUAUUACUUAUGACGCGAGACUUACUCGUGUUUGGAAAUUUUGCCAUUCUCUUAAUGAAAAAGAAAUGAGUAAUUAAAAGCGAUGGUAGUCUCAAUUUGUAUAUUACGAAAUCACGAAACGAUAUAUACCGAAAAAAUAUUACGUUUCUGAUUUUCUGGCUUAUUAUCUAGGGAACUAUUUGUUUCACUAGAAAUUUCAAUACGAAGCGAGUGUAGCUUCGCAAAUCUCUCCUCAGUUUCAUGAUUGCUUGUUUAUCAAAUAUCACUUGUUCCAUCAAAUAUCAUUGCAUCGUACGAGGCGUACUCGCGUACCCUUGCAGACAAGUCCUUAUCACUCUCUUUAAGUGGUUUAGAGAAACUCUCAGACUGUUGUGAUCGUACUUCUUUUUCGUAAAAUCGACUAAUAUACUUUUCACAUAACUUGUUUAUUGACCAUUUCUUGAUUAACUAACUGGAUGGCUCUCUCGGAGGGAAAAUACGGGAAAGAGGGGAAGGUAAUAUUAGGAAACCAUAAAUGUGUAAAAUAAUAUAUAAUAAUAAUAAAAUAAUAAAUUAAUAAAUAUAUAAAUAAUAAAUAAAAAAUAAAAAAAUAAGAAAAUAAUAAAAAACUAAAAUAAUAAUAAUAAAUAAUAAAUAAUAAUAAUAAAAUAAUUAAAAACCUUAAAAUAUAAUUACAUAACUAUAGGAGAGGGGAAAUUUUUUAUCCCCAUGCGUUCUAGUUAGAGAAUUAGAAUCUAUAAAUCUUGGUCUUCCAACGUGACGACAUGGAAUUUUCGAACCAGCAUGUGUGUCUCAUACGCGAAAUAAUGCCUAGUUGUCAUAUGUACCAAAGAAUAGCUUUACAAAUAAUAAUAACGGUUGAAACACGAUUAAAUUUAAUAGAAAAUUUCAUUUCUAUAUUAUAGAAAUGAAACUGAUUCUCUUGAUUCAUAGCAUUUUAGUUAUUAUUUUAUUGCAUUUAGGAGUAGUUGCUGUAGCGUUUAAUUAUUUUCGGUAGUUGAAAUGAACGAAUGACUUUGAUAAGUCUUAACUAAUCUACGAAUUUGGAUCUAUUUUAGAGAUAUACAAACCAAAUUAUAGACGAAAGUGUUAUGAUAUGUAUUAUGAAGUUAAGGUACUCAUUAAGCACACAUAGUAUGUGUAUAUAAAUAUAGUAUUACAGCUAACUGAGAUACACUUCCAUAUAAUCCCUAUUUAAGGAAUGUAUACUGCCAUAUAUUUGUAUUUAUAAGAAAAUGUUCGUUCUUUAUUUCGAUAUACUACGAUAAACUUAAAUUCGAAAAAAAUUUACUCCAAUGUAUAUUUUCUUCGAAGAAAUUAUUUAUGGUAAGAAAAUUAGCUACUUUCAUUUCCGUUUAAAGUUCUUCGACAUGUAUCUACUUAACGAGAUUUUAAUCCAGUCUCUUUUCCAAUAAAUAAACAUUUAAUCUAUUAAAUAUAACUAGUAAGUAUAAGGUAGACUUACAAAAGAAGCAACAGUGCGAAUUUCCUAUAUGAAUAUCCGAUUAAUUUCAUAGGAAUUAGUCUUAAUAAUUACAAUAAUUAUUAUUAUAAUAGUUAACUAUAUUAUAAAUAAUUACAGUUUUAUAUGAUUAUUUCAAUUAAAAAAUAGACGAAUUAUUGUAAGAUUCUCAUUAGUAAAUUCCAUGAUAUAUUACACAGAUAAUUUCGCAUGAACAUAGAGUAUAUAUACAUAUAAUUUCAUAACUAUAGGAGAGGGGAAAUUAUUUAUCCCCAUGCGUUCUAGUUAGAGAAUUAGAUUUUAGGAAGCUUGGUCUUCUAUCCAGCUAACAUGUGGCUAAUUAAACUAGGUUAAGUCAUUCCUUCCGGGAUUUGCGACCCAGUCAUACGCAAGUGUGUCUCAUACGCGAAAUAAUCCCUAGCUAUCAUACAUGUCAAAACCAGUUUUACAAAUGACAGAAACGAUUGAAACACCUUUAUCACUAAUCAUUCCAUUAUUCCAUUAAUAUUCAUUAAAUUUGACAUUAUAUUUGUAUAAGAUUUAUUAAAAGAUUUCAUUUCCAUAUUAUAGUACUUAUCGGAUAAUUACUCCCAUUUGGGAUUCGUACCAUUUAGAAUAUUUGAGAUAUAUUCACUUAUAAAUAAUAAUACUUUCUUCGACUGCAUAUAAUCUACGAAAGUAUUCUAUAAAUUAUUAUAAAAUGAAUAAAUAUGUUAUAGACUUUAUAUUCGACAUUACAUUUUAGAACAAAAAAUUUAUCAUAUCUCUAAAAUAUCUUACCAUUAAAUAAACACAGCGUUGAUUGUUUUUCCAUUUAAAAGUAAUUUUAAAAAGGAAAAUGUGUUCAUAUAGUAAUCUUAUUGUUUUUCUGGCAUUUGUACUAUCCAUGUUGUACAAUCGUAUCGUCGUAUAUACGUAAGAAUAGAUAGAAUCAAUGUGAUUGCUUUUCACUUUGGAUGUGCAAUGUUAUAUUAUCUGGUGGAACGUUGUUGAACUUUUUGUAUCUUGUUUGGAAUUUAAAACUCAAGUAUAAGUGAAUUCGGCUCCUUCGCAAUACAUCCAGGCUCUUGGAACUGCUUUCGUCCUCGGUUGGUUUAGUAUAUCUCUGAAACAAUAUAAAUUCCUAAGAUUAGAUUAGUUAAGACAUACGGAAGCCAUUCAAUUGUUCAUCUAAUUGUAUUGUACUCAAAAAUAAAUUUUGUUACAUCCUUAUAUGUGAUAUAAAGUACCUUUUCCGAAAGGCAACAAAUAAUAAUUUAGAUAGUGUUGAUCACGAAAAUUAGUUUCAUUUCCAUAAUACAAAAUUGAAAUUUUAUAAUAAAUUACGGACUAAUCAUUACUAACAAAUUUACUUUAUAUUGAUAGCUUAAACAAAUGACUAGUAAGAAUGAAGAAAUUGCUUCAAACGUCUGAAUACUUAUAUAACUGAUCUCUGGGACGUAUGAAGUAUGCACGAACGAAUAUUUGUUGUACCACACUCGCUCCCGUAUUACUAGUUCGACAACCACCGAAGGAAUGACCUGCAGCUUCAUCGCCGUCCGUCGAACGGCAGUUUUUGUACCCCGCACAUCGCUUUGGGUUCUUAACCGAGCGAACACGAUAGUGCCCUUUGCACAGGGUUAUUACACUUGACGUAGAUUAAUCAAUAUAUCGAAAGAACCAAGAUGGUCAUAAGCUAAGAAGAAAGGAAUUUCUCUAUUGAUCUCUAUUAAUUGGAUGCAUCAUUAUCCUUUUUCUUCUAUGCUCUUUACAAUUUGAAAUUAGAAAUGAAUGAAAGAAUUCUGAAAAUUGGCAAAUGUUUCUACCUGUUUUUGUCGUUAAAACGAUUUAUGAAUAAGAAUUAAUUUGAAGCAAAGAAUAUUGUUUGACAAUUUUUUUUGUAAAAUUACUUUCUGUCCUUUUUCUAUUACUUAAGAUAACAAUCUCUUUUUUACACCUCUGUCUUUUUUUCUAACGCAUUAGUAAAGAAUAUGGAUUCAUAGAAAAUCAUUUGUCACUUUUUUUCUCCUAAUGUCAUCUUUAUGUCUUUUACGUAUUUUAUGUGGAAACCAUUUACGUAAGUCAAUCAAAGUUUCCUAUUACGCGAUUCAACGACUCGGAAAGGCUUAAUUGGAUAUGGAUUGGGGGGAAAUAAAUUUCUCGAUGAAGAUAGAUUCAUCGGCAGAUAGAUUUAUUGAAGAGUCGUCCUACGUUCCAGGCGAAACAUGGAUCAAAGAGACUUGAAAUGAACUUGAGGGAUGUAUAUUUCCCAAAUGAUUCAACACGUAGGGACGAUCAAAAGCUUUCCCAUGUUUCGCGAUAUUAGUGUUAGCCAGGGAACACUUUUACAUUCAGCAUAGAAUAUUCAUUGUACGUUUGCGUCAUCAUCUGAACGUUAUACCGGUGUAAAUAAUUCUUUAAACUGUAUCUUAAACUAAUUAUUAAACUGAUUAUCAUAGUCAGCUUAAAUAAUUAUUUAAUGUAAUUUAAAAGAAAAGAAACGUUUAAUUCAAUGCUCCAAAUUGAUUACCAUAAUGCUAACGAUAUGUACUUGAAUAAAAUUCAUAAUAUUUAAUGUAUACCUGUAGUAAUAUACGGAUCUGGAGCAAUUAAUUUGCUGCAUAUCUCAAAUUCUCAUGUUAACGAUUUAUUCGAGGUAAAUGAUUUGCAGGUAAUACGUUCUCCCAUACUUUGCGUCAAAUACGUUCAUACUAAACGUAUUAUUAUUAUCUCUCUCCAUCCCUGUGUGUACUUUUGCGCGUGCGUUAGCAUUUUCAAGUGGACGAGAUGAUUUUGCGAUCCUAUGAGCGUGCGUGCCUAUAUCUCCGCUCGUAUCAUGGAAAGGAGAAAGGUAUUUUUUCAUUCGUUUUCCUCUUGUCAACCCAAGCGGACAAUUUGAUAAUACGAUUACUCGUAGUAUCAUAAAAUUUAGUAUACUCGUAAUAUCAAGAAAUUUAGUUAUCUACUUAGAUACAUCAUUUAAUUAUCCUAUUAGGUCUUUUACAGAGCUAUGUACCGCGUGACUAAUUCAGUUCUUAGGUAGAUUCGUAGGAUUAUAUCGUCUACAUUUUCCUAAAAAUUUACUGCCGAUUGGAGAAUUUAAAAAGUUAUCAAAUUAUACUUUUAGUUAUACAAUAAUGCGUACACUGUGUUUUUCUGUUAAUUAACUCGAAGCAAAAUGUUAUAUUUUUCCAAUCGGUUAUUUUUCAUUGCGUAUAACUGAGAAUAACAAUAAUUUUAUUCUAUUUAUAGUAACAUGAUAUUCGUAUUAUUCGAAUAUAUUGCUGGAAUGUUUUAAUUUCUCAAUAAGCGCAUAUGAAAUUUAACAUGGACAUAAUAAUUCCCUCAAUAUAAUAGAGGUUAAUUAUACUUAUUAAUAUGAUUAUUAUUAUACUUAUUAUUAUUGUAUCUAUUAUUAUAUCAAAACAUAAGUUAUAAAUGUUGUAGAAAGACA